GUUUCUGCGGAGUCAUAAAAAGUCAUGAAAUGUCUUAAAAUUAAUACUAAGAAUUUUAGGCCAUAAAAAGUCAUAAAAACGUCCGGAUUUUCCAUCCAAGUUCAUAAAUUUCAUUCAGCCAUGUCUUAAAUUGAUAUGCUCGUUCAUUCAUUGGUUCUGCCAUUGCCAUGCACUGGCGGAAUAAUGUUAAAUGCACAGGUUAAAUGGGCCAAAAGCGGAACGCUCAUUUGAAACGCGCGCCACACUGACCAUUUACACGCUCGGCUCAAAGUCCAAACGGCAGCCAAGCCCCAAAUACAUCAACCGGAAGUUGAAGCCGGCUGAGUGCCGCCAUCUUGUAGCAGAACUUCACCUGCGUUAGCAUUCCCAUUAUCAUCAAGCUUAGUUUGAGUCAAUUGAGAUCCAAUGAGAAGACUCUGUCCACUUCUAUAUACUGUCAAUGACGGCAGUGCAGCGCAAGCUCACUAGAACCAAUGCGUUUACUCUGUGAAUUGUUCACCUUUUUGGCAAAUGUUUGUCAUGAUAUGUUCUGACAAUAAAGAGUAACUGUAGUUAUCCCGGAAAUUUUGGACAAUCUCGAUGGCCGGACAUGUCCGGGAAAAAUAGGAUGGUAACCCCUAAUACUCAGAUUUCUCCACAGAAUAAGAACCAGUUAGCUUAGCUUCCAAAAAAAAGAUAGCUGACACUAUUUGUACAUUCUGUGAGUGUGAUUGCAUCCUCUAUGGGCGUGUUGAAAAUUGAAAGAAUAAAACAAAUUAAAAAAGUAGAUUUGUUUUUCCAGACAAAAAAAUACAUAAAUCUCUCAUCUCAGGGGGAUAUGAGGGGGAAAGCAGGGUAAUUUGAAAAUACUACAGGUUUUCUACUGAUACAAAGCCUAUUGCUAAAUCCUGAAGUAUCCCUUUAAGAGAGAGUGUGAUAUCAUAAAAAAAAUUCAGCUCUUUGUUUUUAAUAUUUUGUACUAAUAGUUUUGUCAUGUUUUAUUUAGAGGCAAACUGAUGGAAUUUUGGACAGGGAGAUUUUGGAAAAAAUUAAAUUACACCAUGGACCUCGAUUAUCUUCUGCCACAAAUUCAGUUGCUUCACCUACCUCGCCAUCUUCUGCCUUGCCGCCUUCUCCACCACCGGUUUCUAACUGUCCACCUGCAUCACCCUCAGCUCCACAUUCACCUGCCUCAUCAUCACCUGGUUCACUUUCACCUACCUCACCUUCUCCUGAUCCUCGAUCCAUCGUUGCACAAUUAAAGGCAGAUAAUGAAGCCCUCAAAUUUUAAUUAGAAAACAUUAAAACAAAUGUUGUCAGUCGUAAGUGUUAAUUAAGAAAACUCCAAAUAUUUUAUAAAGUGGUUGAUUAUAAAUAUUGUCAUUUAGAAACCCAUACAAGUUUGCCCUACUGAAAAUCUAAUUUUUCUUUACUGUUUUGCUUCUUAUGACGAUGGGCAAGCUGGAAAAAUGGCUUGACGAGAAAGAGCAGACCCCACAGAAACUGCUAUCACCUUCCAGCAUACAGGAAACUAUCCAUAGACAUCCUAUUUAAAGGCUAGACGUCUCAUGGCGCACUCACUUCCGGCAUCACCGGUGGCCAUCUUAUCACAGGCAGGCUUCCUGUCGGGCUCUGUGGUACCUAAUAUAAGGUGAGUGAUCAGCACUAACAAAAAUACUCUUAUCUCGCUGAAACCUUGACGGAUUUACAAACAGUUUGGUUUCUUACAAACGUUAUUACAGUUUUUUACAAUUGCUAUGACAGUUUUUUCAAUACAUUUAACAAGUUUCCUAAACUCUUAACACGGCUAGCACAACAUCCAUCUUUGUAGGCUAUACAUUUAACACAUUUCUUGUUGCUUUGACACAAAAUGCAUACAGUUAACACAAAUUUUAAAUGCUUGAACUUCUUUUACACACAAGCUCAACCAAGACCAAAACAAUGUAAUUUUACAGUCAAAUUUACAAAUGCUUUCACACUGUAUGUCAGAACAGAUAACACCAUGUUCUAAACCUAACCUUACAGGCUAAAGUCAAGGUAAACAGCUGUGUUUA
ensembl:lncRNA